rnacentral:rRNA from 1 species
CAAUAGCGUAUAUUAAAGUUGUUGCAGUUAAAAAGCUCGUAGUUGGAUUUGUGGCGUACGGUGUGUUCCGGGCACUUGUUGUCUGAGUAACCUGCUGUUGCCAUCCUUGGGUGGAACCUGUGUGGCAUUAGGUUGUCGUGCAGGGGAUGCCCACCAUUUACUGUGAAAAAAUUAGAGUGUUCAAAGCAGGCUUAUGCCGUUGAAUAUAUUAGCAUGGAAUAAUGAGAUAGGACUUUUUUGCUAUUUUGUUGGUUUGCGCAAAGAGGUAAUGAUUAAUAGGGACAGUUGGGGGUAUUCGUAUUCCAUUGUCAGAGGUGAAAUUCUUGGAUUUUUGGAAGACGAACUACUGCGAAAGCAUUUACCAAGGAUGUUUUCAUUAA